rnacentral:rRNA from 1 species
UACGUAGGGUGCAAGCGUUAAUCGGAAUUACUGGGCGUAAAGCGUGCGCAGGCGGUUCGCUAAGACAGAUGUGAAAUCCCCGGGCUUAACCUGGGAACUGCAUUUGUGACUGGCGGGCUAGAGUAUGGCAGAGGGGGGUAGAAUUCCACGUGUAGCAGUGAAAUGCGUAGAGAUGCGGAGGAACACCGAUGGCGAAGGCAGCCCCCUGGGCUGACACUGACGCUCAGGCACGAAAGCGUGGGGAGCAAACAGG